CAGUCGAGCGGAUGAAGUGAGCUUGCUCAUGGAUUCAGCGGCGGACGGGUGAGUAAUGCCUAGGAAUCUGCCUGGUAGUGGGGGACAACGUUUCGAAAGGAACGCUAAUACCGCAUACGUCCUACGGGAGAAAGCAGGGGACCUUCGGGCCUUGCGCUAUCAGAUGAGCCUAGGUCGGAUUAGCUAGUUGGUGAGGUAAUGGCUCACCAAGGCUACGAUCCGUAACUGGUCUGAGAGGAUGAUCAGUCACACUGGAACUGAGACACGGUCCAGACUCCUACGGGAGGCAGCAGUGGGGAAUAUUGGACAAUGGGCGAAAGCCUGAUCCAGCCAUGCCGCGUGUGUGAAGAAGGUCUUCGGAUUGUAAAGCACUUUAAGUUGGGAGGAAGGGUUGUAGAUUAAUACUCUGCAAUUUUGACGUUACCGACAGAAUAAGCACCGGCUAACUCUGUGCCAGCAGCCGCGGUAAUACAGAGGGUGCAAGCGUUAAUCGGAAUUACU
rnacentral:rRNA from 1 species